rnacentral:lncRNA from 1 species
CUGAGACACGAGAGAAACCUUUCACUAAGGCACCAGUUGAUUCUACCUGUCUGGGCAGUUUAUUGUGAAGGUGGUGUGAUGGAAGUGAUAAAGGAUUAUUUCUCCGCUGUUGCACCAUACAAGAUCAAGUCGAUGGAGUUAAGGUUGUGAUGCGUGGUGAGAGUGGUGAAGCCUUUGUGGGUGGUGGUGGUGGUGUGGGUGUAGCGAGCGAUGAGGUGGCCAGUGGCCACACGUGACGGCAGGGAGCCGAAGGACUACACAACAGAGACGGAUUGUGCGCCUCCGAGGUGAACGUCUGACUGGUCAAGAACGCCUCCAAACAGGUAAAGUACUUAUGACAAUAUAUAAUGUCUAUAUGCAAGUAUUUAUGAAUGUUAUGUUUUAAAGUUUUUUGUAUUCCAGGUUUGUUUGUGUGGCUGACUGGACCUACUACAAGGUGCUUCUUGGAGGUAAUAAAGAUACAUCAGUGAUGGUGAGUCCGUCACAUUACCAGCGGUUGUGGAUUUCUCAAUUCAACCUUUAUAUUGCAGACUCCACAUAAGGCGA